rnacentral:lncRNA from 10 species
GGUAGUUCCAGCUACUUGAGAGGCUAAGGUAGGAGAAUGGUUUGAGCCCAGGAGUUUGAGGCUGCAGUGAGCUAUGAUUGCGCCACUGCACCACUCCAGCCUGAGCAACGAGUGAGAUCUUGUCUAAAAACAAAACAAAACAAAAAGCUCAUUUUUAAAUGUUUAUUAUUUUUGUUUUUUGUUUUAAAUAGCGAUGAGUUGCCCAUGCUGGCCUCAAACUCUUGAGCGAGAGUGAUCCUCCUGCCUUGGCCUCCCAAAGUGCUGGGAUUACAGGUGUGAGCCACCACACCCAGCCAGAAAGUUCUUUUUAAAAGGGGAGAAACAACAGCUCCAGAAGGGGCUUUGAUAAAUUAUUUAAUUUAAAAAAAUCAAAUUAAAGUAAAGAGGGUAAAGAGCUGGGUGAAAGCGAGCUAGGUGAAGAGCUUGCGUGUCCAUCCUCCUGCCGAGAUGUGGUGAGCUUGCCCUCAUCCCAUCAGCUGGACAGCUCUCCACUGAGCCUACCCAUUCACCAUGAUUCUUGCUUUUCCUCAGCUAAGGCCCUGGGUGCAGGCUUAGCACUGUGGGGGGCCUCUGGGAUGAUGAGAUGUUCUCAUUAAUUCCUCAGGCAGCAGUGUUUGCAGUUGGGAGACAUGACUUCCAUCCCGCUCCUUAUAAAGUCAUAUGUUUUUCUUGAAUAAAUGCUAAAUCAAACUAGUCUUUCUGUUUUUUCCCCUCAAUUCAUAACCUCAUCAUUCCACAAAUAAAAUGAUGCCUUCAAAACCCACAGACUGUUUUGCAGGGUGGUCUGGGAGAGAUGCCGCCUGAGCCGGCCUAUGGCUCCAAACUCAUCGCUGGAAGAUCACAGCUGCCCUCUCCCCGGCCACUCUCUUUUCAUGAGGAAAGUUGAAUACAAGGAUGUGGUCAACUAUACUGUUCUUACCGUUGAAAAAGAAGUGCUGAGGCCAGGCAUGGUGGCUCACACCUGUAAUCCCAGCACUUUGGGAUGCCGAGGCAGCUGGAUCACUUGUGGUCAAGAGUUCAAGACCAGAUUGGGCGACAUGAUGAAACCCCGUCUCUACUACAAAUACGAAAAUUAGCCAUUGUGGUGGCACACGCCUGUAAUCCCAGCUACUCAGGAGGCUGAUGUGGGAGAACUGAACCCUGGAGGUGGAGAUUGCAGUGAGCCAAGAUGGCGCUACUGUGCUCCAGCCUGGGCAACAAAGCAACACUAUGUUUUAAAUAAAUAAAUAAGUGCUGAGAUCUCAGAAAAUACAAUGCCUAGCUUCAGAAUACCAUAUAUUAUAUAUUCAUAUGGCUAUAAUGAUUCCCCACCUGUUUAUCUGUCCUAAUGCAAGGAGCUUCCUUUCAUAGUGAUGCCAGGCACUGCUCUAAGUAAUUUUAUGUAUCCUAACUUAUUAAAUCUCCUCAACCACCCUAAAAUAAGUACCUUUAUAAACUCCAUUUUACAGAAAAGGAAACAACUGAGUUUCCAAGAGUUUAAGUAAUUCAAGAUCUACACAGCUAAUAAUUGUGAAACUGGGACUUGAACCCGUGUACUAUGACUCUCAAAUCCUGGCUCUUACCAAUCCUGGGCUACCACCUACUACACACAUUUAUUUCACACCGUGUCCCUGAAGUCCCCUCAGCAUGAUAGUAAUUUGUCUUCUCACAUUUUUUCUUUAAAAAAAAAAACAAAACAAAAAAACUAGAGUAGUAAAGCUGUCAAUGCAUGACUAUGCUAAGGCAUAAGGGAUACAAAAAAAUGCCUUCAAGUUUCCUAUUUUAAAGUCUUUUGAGAUUUAAAGGCUUUUAGAUGCCAGUGGAGAUUGUAAGAAUAA